rnacentral:rRNA from 1 species
CAGCAGCCGCGGGAAUACGAAGGGUGCAAGCGUUACUCGGAAUUACUGGGCGUAAAGCGUGCGUAGGUGGUGGUUUAAGUCCGUUGUGAAAGCCCUGGGCUCAACCUGGGAAUUGCAGUGGAUACUGGAUCACUAGAGUGUGGUAGAGGAUAGUGGAAUUUCCGGUGUAGCAGUGAAAUGCGUAGAGAUCGGAAGGAACAUCUGUGGCGAAGGCGGCCAUCUGGGACAACACUGACGCUGAGGCACGAAAGCGUGGGGAGCAAACAGGAUUAGAUACCCCUGUAGUCCCUGUCUCUUAUAU